GGAGUCGCCGUCUACGCCUUCCGCGCCGUCUGUAUAGGCAGGCCGCCUGUCAACGGCACGGGGCGGCACAGACGAGAGGA
rnacentral:ncRNA from 1 species